GUUAAGAGCCGCUAUUCUUAUAAUGUUUAUCAUUACUUUUGCUUAUUUUCUAAGAAGAUAUCUACAACAUAUAAUGCCAAACAAUCAUGUAAAAGCCCAUAUGAUUUAAAAUUCAAUCACCAACUCCAUAAGAACUCUCUUAUAGAAAUGUAGUUCACAAAUUUAUUUUCUAAUAUGUCAUAAUUUCAUUAGAAUGUAGUCAUAUCUUCUUUUCAAUUAAUCAGGUUUAGUUGUUUAUUAUUUACGUUAAAUCAUAUUUAAACCUGCCAUUUCAAUUGCUUCUAUUAUAUCUGAUGGUUUCCAACUUUAGCCAAAUAUUGUUGGAUUACAUUUUUUUGUGUGAAAUUAAUCUUGACAUUGAUAUAGUGACCAUGGGAACUUAUAAACCUCAUGUUUGAGAAAAUCAAAUGCAUAGACACACCAUGCAUACUUGUAUAUAUACAUAUAUAUACAGAGUGUAGACACACGUGGAGAGAGUGGUGAACUGUAUCUAAUCAACCAGAUUUUAAGUCUUUUUAGGUCACGUGAAAUGUAAUAUGGGGUCCACAUUAAUAAUCUAAGCCAUUGAAUGUGAUCUACUACCUUUAAAUUGCUUAAAGAUUAGAUCAUGUGAUUGGAGGCUCUUAGCCUGUGCAUCAAGUGGCAAAAUGGGCAUUGUAUUGUGUUUGAACACCACCUUUACCACUUCAUGUGUGGGCUAGAGGUCUCCAAAUCAUAUGAUUUUUGGUCUCUGAGCAAUUUAGACGUAGUAUAUCACAUCCAACAUAUUAGGUCAUCGGCAUCGAACCCCCAUCUUCCAAUUCCACCGGCAGAUUCAGCUUGAAAUCUAGUUGAGUGGAUCCUAGUCUAUAUUUGUAUACACUAUACAUAGAAAAGGUGUAUCCAUGCUAGUUUCAUUAAAGUUAACAUUUUGAUAUGAUCCUACCUUAGAUGGAUAGGGUGAAACCAGACAUAAGAUUAUAAGAGUUUUUAGUGUCCUACAAAUAAAGGAUAAAAUACUGAUUUUUCCCGUCCUAUGCAUAUAAGCUCAAAUAUGCUCCUUUAAAUAUGAGGGUGCAUAUUGCAUUGAGUAGUUGAUGAGGAGGGGAAGCUUGAGGACAUAUUUUUCUUUAUUCUAGGAAUUGUAGACAAUGGCCAAAUAAUAAUUUUAAAAAAGCUAAAAGGAAGCAAAGAUAAGUCAAAUGGCAAAUAAGAAUACGAACCAGGCUUUUACCAAGGGACUAUGGAAUUUUAAUUCAAUGAAGAAUAUACCCCUCAUAUGAAUGGAUGGGAGAGCAGGAUCCAUAAAGGUGUCAGUGAAUUGAUAGAAACAUCCUAUUGAAGACAAGAAAAUCUCAAAGCAAUAUGGGAGAGCAAGAUCAAUAGACAGUGAAUUGACACAAACAUCCUAUUGAAGACAAGAAAAUCUCAUAACAGGUUAUGUUAUGCAUUAAUUCUAAUUUGUAUAAUUGACUGAUGUGCAUGGUGUCAAGUCUUUAAAUUUCUAAUAAUGCAGUCAAGCAACACUAUGUUAUACUAGAGACAUUGGACAUGCGUUGGUCAUGAAUCGACAUCAACAUAGCUGUAGUAAAUUAAUCCUCGGUUCAAGUGAAUGCAUCUGAGUUAGCAAGCAGGUCGGGUACAAGAGAAAAAGAAUGUGAUCUUCAGGUUCUGAGUGAGCUGGGCAGUCAUUCUCCUACUCCUUUCUAUGUCUCCUCCUCUUAUGGAAAAUGGGAAAAGAAUAUGCAUAAGACUUGAGAGACACCACUAUUCCUCACAUUGGUGUCCUGCAACAACUAAUCAGAUACCCAGCAAUUAAACAAUGGAAAGACUGAAAAAGGAUGAGAAGGGACAUGUCCUACAUUAUAUCUGUUGUUCAAAUGCUUAAUGUUAGACCAGGUUAAGUUAUUGAUCCUUUUCGACAGUGUGCAUUUCAUUUUUUUUAGAUGAUUCCAGUUGCAGAUUGUGACAAUGAAGUCCAGGUUAUAACAGAAUAUUGUAAACAUAGGGUAUAAUAUCUAGUUACAUAAGCAUUGAGGUGAAAUGACUAGAAAUUUGUUGCAUUUCCACUUUCUUAGGUAAUCUAUGUUAAACAUGAUAAUAAAAAUGCAAGUCCUAGCCUAUAAAGGAGUUAGGUGCUCACUUUCAUUGCUUUCACUUGAAAAUUUCUAUUAAUAUCUUUCAUUUUAAUGUUCUUAUUCUAUAAUUCAUUAGCUCUUGGGUUGCUUAGCCCUGCCCGCUAAGUGGCUUAAGCAAUUAAGCUAGUGAAGUUAGCAAUUAGCACAACAUAUCGGAGGAUCGAUGUCGGGCUAAUAGUUGAUCAUGAAUAUUCUACUUAAUUCACACGGGGAGUCUUCUAAGUUUGAGUCAUGUUUUGUAAUCUUUGUUAGGAUAAGGCGUAGAUUUUGUUGUAGCAAGCCAGUAGAGGUAGUACUGACAAUGCUAACCUCACUGUAGUGAUAGCAAAAAUUCUCUAUGAGCACAUGGAUAAAUGUAGUUGUUAUUGGGUAAUGUGACUAAUUUUUGCAUGCUAAAGCAACCCUUUAACCAUGCUAAGCGCCUUCUAGUGAUAUUAAAGAUUCUUAAUGAGGGUAUGGAUAGAUGUAAUUGUUAUGACUAAUUAGACUAAUUUGCUUAACAUUAGGUGGUUAAAUUAGCUCACUUUCUGGACAAUAAUUUACCAUAUGAGCCAACUAUUUGGUGAGCCUUUUUCCUUGUUGGGUUUGCUUCUUUUUCACCCAUUUAGUAGAUACUCAACCACCUAAUGGAGGCAGUGCAAUGGAAGUACACAAUUUUUAACAGAUUUCUAAUCUUUUCGCUUAUGGUCUUCAUCAUGUUACAAUCUAUUAUCGCGGGUUCAGAUGAUGGAGAUUUAACCUCGAAGCUGUGGCUCACAAAAUGAUUGCCAUUUUUGGGAUAAGGACAUGUAGCCUCAAUAAUACAUUAACCCCUCCAGCCCUCCUACUCUUGGUAGCACUUGUGGAAUAUCACAAUUUUGAGAAUUGGUAAGGUUGUGUUUGGUAGAACUUUCAUUUUUUUUAGUUCUUCCUAAAAUCAUAAACAUGUUUGGCAUAGUUAACUAAAACAUAAACAAAUUUUCUACAGCUCUCUCCUAUACAAGAACUAGACUAACACCAGAGAGAAGAAGAGAGGGAAAGGGUGGGUUGAGUGGGUGGUGGCAGUAGCAGUGGUAGCAACAAUAGUAGUUGUGUUGGCGAUAUUGGUAACAAACAAUGGGUUGGAGGGAGAAAGUGGUUUGGGGGGUUGGGUGUAGGAUGUAUACAAGCCGAACACAAGGGAGCUGGCCCUAGCUUAAGCUUGCUCAAAAAAUUGGGUGGCCCACUUGAGCUUAAGCACAUCACGAGCUAAGCUAGCCUAGAGUGGGCUCGGCUUGUCCACAGCGAGCUAAGCUUGUGGUUGGCUUGGUGUGGCUUGUUACUAGCUGAGGCUAUAGGACAAAAAGCUCAUCCAAGUGUAGGCCAUCAUGUACAUGAGUAGAGAAGAGGAGCACUAGUAUCUUGUGUUUGCGGUAUUGAUUACAAUCAUGACCAAUAUCUCAAUCACCUUUAACGUCCUGAUCCCGAUCGUUGUUAAUAAUACAUACUCUAACUCUACAUCCCUAGUGUUGGUCAUGCAUCAAUGAGGAAGGAGGGUGACAUUUAACCAACCUUUGUAGCAAGUGAAUUGUUAAGGAAGGAAAAGAUAAAGUUGGAGCUCUGAUUUUGAGAAUUUUAAGGGAUUAAGCCAGGGUCCAGGGAGAGUAAUUUGCUAACCAUGUAGGAUUAAACCACUAGCUAUGGUGGAUUUAGCAAUUAGGAGUAAAAGCUGGUACUUACUAGAGGAGAGGUGUUAGAGAGAGUGCAGACAAGACAGUGGUUGUGGCAGUUAUAAAGGUUGAGAGAGGGGUGUUAGGGUUAGGCUUUUGGUUAUGAAGUGUAGCAUAUCUAAGCCGUUAGAUGAUAAUCUAAUGGUUACAAUGUGAUCAUCAUUGCAAACAAAGGAUUGGUAUCUAAUUGCUGAAGUAUAUCCUUAUUUGUAAAAAAAUGUUUGUAUCACAAAAUAUAGAAUCCCUAUUUUAUAAAUAAAAAUGUAAUGUGAUAUUAUAUAAAGAUUUAUUUCUAUUUCAAGCCAUACUAAGCCAAACAUGUGCAAGCUGAUCAUAGCUUGUGUUUGGAUUGUUCCAAUUUUGAUCUAAAAAAUUUAGCUCAUGUUAUUCUCCCAUCAUUCUAGAUUUUGAAUUUUGAAUUUGGAGAGAGACUUUGGCUCUAUUCAUUAGGCUCCUAGGCCUCUUGGUUGGGGAAUCUCCCCUCCCUUCUUUUUAUCUCUUCUCCUUUUCUUUCUCCCUUUCUUUUAUAAUGACCCAGGACCUCAUCCCAAAAGACUAGCCAGAAAGUAUCAUUUGGAUUCCUUUGCCUUGUAUAAGUACGCAAAAUCUAUGGAAGUAAACAUGCCUAAAUGGGUCCUCACAUACUUUCCCAUUUAAGCUUUGAUGUCCUCGCCAGGCUAAGAGUCCAAAUCCAUUUUAAAGCUAAUCACAAGCAUCACGAUUGGCCCAUGAACGGCCCCAGUGUGCCCGUGCUGCAAGUUCCUUAGUCCACAUAGGCCAUGGGCUAGGUCUACUCUAAUGCCAUUUGUAACAACUCAGGACCUUACCCAAAAAGACUAGGUAGAAGGUAUUAUUUGGGUUCUUUAGCCUUGCGUAAGUACCUAAGAUCUACCCGGUGCAUGGACAAUGUGAGACUAAACACACGCCCGCACGGGUCCUCACAUCCCUCUCCUUUCAUCUUUCUCCCCGCUCUUACCGCUCUUUCUCUCUUUAUAUCACUCAUCCUCUCUCAUUUCUUUCACUCCAUCCUCUCUCUCUCUCUCUCUUAUGUGCAUUUUGGGCUCUGGUUUCUUCUUUCUUUCUGUAUGGAUCUCGGAUCCACUUUUUCCCCUUUCAUGGUCCCUAUGGCUUCGCCCCUCUCUCCCUCUAUGGUCCCCCAUAGAUCAGCCUCUCUCUCUCUUGUUUGUGGUCCCCUGCUGCCCCCCUAUCCUUUCUCCCUUCUCUCUCCUUUUUUCCUCCCCUCUCCUUGUGGUCCCCCAUUGCUCCGCCCUCGCUCUCAUUUUGUGACGCUCUCUUCUUUCUCUCUCUCUCUCUCUUCUCUCUCUUCUCCCUCUCCCUCCUUUUCUUUUCCCUCCACCAUUUGUGUUCUUGAGUCCCAUAUUUUUGGUUUGCCUUCACCCCUUCUCAUCUAGUUGAGAACCUUGAUCCUUUCCCCUUGGCCUCCUGUUCCUGGCUAGUUUGUGAGACUCCAAUCUGUUGCCUUGUGCCUACAGGAUUCAUGAUGAUUGUGGAGCAAUUCGUGGCGAUGGGUUCGAGAUGAUGAUGGUUCCCCCCCCCCCCCCCGCCCCAUACACACACACACGCGAGUUACUCCGCCACCUCUCUCUCUUUCUGUGGCUUUGUGGCUUGGGGUGAGGGUGCUUUUGGUGAUGGUCGAGCUCCCCCACCAAGAUGCUGUCUUAGCUUGUUGAUUAGAGAUUUUUCCUAGUCGCCGACGUUGGCAUUGUUAGUGGUUGUCAUUCGGGUGCUCAUGGUUUUGGCGACUUUCUGGCACUUUCAACAAGUCCUUUGGUGGUGGGACUUUUGAACUUGAAAGUUUGAAUUUCGUUGGAUUUUUUUGUGAAGAGUUAUUUGUCUUCAUUUUUGGAAGGUGUGGUUUGAAUUUGAAUUUGUGAUUGACUUUUUAGUCUUUAGGAUGUUAGUUGUGCUCUAUCUCUUUGUUGUAUCUUCACACUUCUUAGUGAAGUGUGCAGCUGGUACUUUCUCUGUUUUCAAAAAAGAAAAAGCUCAUCUUCAGCUGGUUUGCAAGCUUAAAUUGAGCUAAAUUUCAAGCCAAAUGCAUGCUGCUCAAGAUUUGCUCAUUCAUUUGACAGCCCUGCUCAAGUGGGGGGUCCUUGUUAAAGAAAAUGGAUGGUAAAAUUCGAUGUACCAGAAAUGAUAACAAGUUCAGAUUCAAACAUUGCAGCUGAUGGGAUCUGCCUGACACUAAAACGUGCUUGAUUGGUCGCUUUCCAUUUUCUGAGGCAAAGAGGCAAGUAACAGUGGAACAGGUGGGAAACCCUUCAAAUGCCGAUGCCUGCCUCUCAACAGUUUUUCUGAAUGCUGAGAAGAAGAAAUCUACUCAUCAACAUAAUUUCACAAUUAUAGCAGUUUGGAGUGCAGCAUCAUGAUAACCCGACUUUGGUAGGUGGACUGUCAUCUCUAACCCUGGUCAAAAAGUUCUGCAAAUCAUUGUUUUUUUAUAUUAUUUAUCAUAUGCCAGUAUAAAUAUUAUUUCUUGGUUUUCUCUAUAGAGCAGUGUGCUUCAUGUGGCUUGCUCAUAUACUAUCUCACAUUAGGUGUGCAAUGGCAAUGAAAGUGAUGCAGAUCUAUCUUGCAUUAUUACGAAUGGUGGAUUAGUUGUUUCUUGUGAGCAUGACCUUAAUAGUGUAGUUAGCUAAAUAUCCAAGGGGAGCCAUCACCAACAUUCCAAAUCUAUCAACGGUCGGAGGUAACGCGCAUUUAUUUUGCCGUGGAAUAUUAAUCAAUAUGUAAUUGACAAGUGACAAGCAGCUACUAACCAAAUCUGGCAUCAUGCCUAAAUGCUAGCCCAUGAUGGCAGCACAUGCGGGUGGCGAUACUGGAUUGCCCCAAUGGCCAAAAUUCUUCUCCAUGUCCUUUGAACCUGGAGCCAUGAUCGCCGAUCUGUCAACUCCUAACAACAGGUUGAUGGUAAGGAAACCUCUCAAGGGUGGUGUUAAGGAGGAUGGCCCCAGGGGUGCUUCCAUCUGCCGGGCCCCAGGGGUGCUUCUGUCUGCCGUCGGAUCUCCAUCUCAGCUUCUCAGCCACCAUGGAUGGCAUCAAACUAAGAAGAAUAUAUGGUAUCCACGUGCAUCUGCUCCAUCUGGCACUGUGGUCUUCCUCCUCCUCUCAGUAUGUGGAGCCCUCGAUGUGAGACGCUGUCACUCUCUUCCUUGAAUGCAGUUGUGCUACCAUCCGUAGCCCAAUUAAACAUUCCUGUGGCCCAUGAUAUGGUGGGUCAAAAGUUGUCGCUCUCAUCCUGCUCAGAUGCUAGCCAAUUGAAAUGUGAUAGAACAAUGUCAGAUUCAGGGUAAGACUGUGUUGUUUUGGUUGCUUCUGCCAUGCGGCACAUCUAUUUCAAUCAGUGAGAGAUCUGUUCUGCCUACCGAACUCCCAUCAGCUCAGAAAGCUUCAGGCUUUCACCUUCUCUAUCCUAAAUUUUCCUACUUAAUGAUUGACUUUAAGGCAAAUGAUAGCAAGCCAAACUUCCAUGAUUAAUUUAGAUGCUCUCCUGUUGAUGGUGGUGUGCCCCUAAUCAUUUGAUUCUGCAGGGAUCUGAAUUAAUUUGGAACAUAGACACGGGCUGCAGGCCUAUGCCAUCUCUUUGCUAGUUUGCUUUCCUGCUUUGACUCUUUGAUAUCAUUUAUUUUUGGCGCAGAUCUCUUCCUCUUUGAUGCUAGUGUAUAUUAAUCUUCUCGCCAUAAUCGUAGCUCAUUUAUGUCAUGAAAAUGCCUCAUGCUUAUGCCCCAAUCAUCAUGGCAAAUAUUCUCUUUGGAAAACAAAAACAAUUUCGAUACCCUUUCUUUACUGUCCUUUCAUUUUCAUGGAACAGUUUUUUUUUCAUCCUUCUUCCUCUCUAGCACAAUUUUUCCUCUCUUUUAGGCCUUCUUAGGACAGUGCAGCUGAUGCAGCUCCAGUAGUUGGCAGGUUAAUGCAUCUAGAUGGUACCAUGGCACACCUCAAUCCUGUGGGGAUUUCUGUGGUUUUUUCACUUUCUGAUAGCUUCAGUUACUAUGAUUUCAACCAGCAUUUGCUCCUUUUCUUUUCCUUCUCAUAACAUUAGAAAGCAGAAAAAGAUUAGUGCCUAUCCUCUUCCAAAUUUGCAAGAAAAUCCUAUCCUUCAUUUGAUUGGACAUGGAGAUAUAUCCCCCAGCCUUGUGAACUUUCAACUAUAUUUGUCUUGCAUGUCAAGGAUGGGACCGAUAAUUUUGCUCAAAAGAAAAGGAUUGGACUGAUGAUCUGUUAAAAAGAGAUUGAAACGGUUUAGGAUUAUUCUAAUAUAGCAAAUUUUACAAUCAAGGUUUGCCCUCA